rnacentral:sRNA from 1 species
GUUCAGUUGAUGAAGUGUAGAGGAGCGAUGGAAGUUGUCACACAUCGGUUGUGUACAUGCUCCUUUUUCUUUCACUUUAGUUUCCACGGGCUCCCUUGCUCAGCAGUAUGCGCACCCUAAUGCUACCCUGCACCCACAUACUCCACACCCUCAGCCUUCAGCUACCCCCACUGGACAGCAGCAAAGCCAACAUGGUGGAAGUCAUCCUGCACCCAGUCCUGUUCAGCACCAUCAGCACCAGGCUGCCCAGGCUCUCCAUCUGGCCAGUCCACAGCAGCAGUCAGCCAUUUACCACGCGGGGCUUGCGCCAACUCCACCCUCCAUGACACCUGCCUCCAACACGCAGUCGCCACAGAAUAGUUUCCCAGCAGCACAACAGACCGUCUUUACGAUCCAUCCUUCUCACGUUCAGCCGGCGUAUACCAACCCACCCCACAUGGCCCACGUACCUCAGGUAAACCAGCUUUAGCCAACUUUCUGUGAAGGCCAAGUAGAAUGUGAAUGUUAUCAGUAAGCAGCUAGAGGCUCUCCCAGCUAGGAAACCCUGUGUGUCAUGCCAUUUGCCUG